rnacentral:rRNA from 1 species
GUACCUACGGGAGGCAGCAGUGGGGGAUAUUGCACAAUGGGGGGAACCCUGAUGCAGCGACGCCGCGUGGGUGAAGGAGCGUUUCGGCGCGUAAAGCCCUAUCGGCAGGGAAGAAGAUGACGGUACCUGACCAAGAAGCCCCGGCUAACUACGUGCCAGCAGCCGCGGUGAUACGGAGGGGGGAAGCGUUAUCCGGAUUUACUGGGGGGAAAGGGGGCGCAGACGGCAAUGCAAGCCAGGAGUGAAAGCCCGGGGCCCAACCCCGGGACUGCCCUUGGAA